rnacentral:rRNA from 1 species
AGAGCGAACGCUGGCGGCAGGCUUAACACAUGCAAGUCGAGCGGGCGUAGCAAUACGUCAGCGGCAGACGGGUGAGUAACGCGUGGGAACAUACCUUUUGGUUCGGAACAACACAGGGAAACUUGUGCUAAUACCGGAUAAGCCCUUACGGGGAAAGAUUUAUCGCCGAAAGAUUGGCCCGCGUCUGAUUAGCUAGUUGGUGAGGUAACGGCUCACCAAGGCGACGAUCAGUAGCUGGUCUGAGAGGAUGAUCAGCCACAUUGGGACUGAGACACGGCCCAAACUCCUACGGGAGGCAGCAGUGGGGAAUAUUGGACAAUGGGCGCAAGCCUGAUCCAGCCAUGCCGCGUGAGUGAUGAAGGCCCUAGGGUUGUAAAGCUCUUUUGUGCGGGAAGAUAAGUGACGGUACCGCAAGAAUAAGCCCGGCUAACUUCGCGCCAGCAGCCGC